rnacentral:rRNA from 1 species
UACGUAGGGUGCAAGCGUUAAUCGGAAUUACUGGGCGUAAAGCGUGCGCAGGCGGUGAUGUAAGACAGGUGUGAAAUCCCCGGGCUUAACCUGGGAACUGCAUUUGUGACUGCAUUGCUGGAGUGCGGCAGGGGGGGAUGGAAUUCCGCGUGUAGCAGUGAAAUGCGUAGAUAUGCGGAGGAACACCGAUGGCGAAGGCAAUCCCCUGGGCCUGCACUGACGCUCAUGCACGAAAGCGUGGGGAGCAAACAGG